rnacentral:rRNA from 1 species
UGGGGAAUAUUGGACAAUGGGGGCAACCCUGAUCCAGCCAUGCCGCGUGUGUGAAGAAGGCCUUUUGGUUGUAAAGCACUUUAAGCAGUGAAGAAGACUCCAUGGUUAAUACCCAUGGACGAUGACAUUAGCUGCAGAAUAAGCACCGGCUAACUCUGUGCCAGCAGCCGCGGUAAUACAGAGGGUGCAAGCGUUAAUCGGAAUUACUGGGCGUAAAGCGAGCGUAGGUGGCUUGAUAAGUCAGAUGUGAAAGCCCCGGGCUUAACCUGGGAACGGCAUCUGAUACUGUUAGGCUAGAGUAGGUGAGAGGAAGGUAGAAUUCCGGGUGUAGCGGUGAAAUGCGUAGAGAUCUGGAGGAAUACCGAUGGCGAAGGCAGCCUUCUGGCAUCAUACUGACACUGAGGUUCGAAAGCGUGGGUAGCAAACA